GCGUCCUUCCCUCUUUUACCCUCUUACGGAUUCCAAAACCACACACCCGCCUUCGCCUUUAGAUCGCCUCUUCCGUCUCCUCCCUCCUCCAACCAUCUCGAGCAUCGAUCGCUUCUUCUACCUCCUCCGGUCGCUGACCUCCUUAAAUCGACUACCCUCACGACUUCCGACGCUAAGCUCCGACAACAUCGACCCUUCUCCGACAGCAUUCACCACCUUCGACAGCCUCCGCUAGCACCACCAGCGACGACGGCCUCAUGUUGUAGGUAAGCUUUUUUCCCCUGAAAAUAGAUUCUCUUUAAAUAGAUCGAAUGUUCUUCUUCUUUUCCGUUGAAAACCGAUUCGUAUAAUCGAAAUCGAUUGACAGCCUCAUCAGUCCUCGAUUUUUUAUUUUAUUUGUAUUUCUGUUAUUGAUUUUUCUAAGAUCGAUUUUCUGAAUUGAAAUUGAUUUCUCCAUAACCAUGGGUUCACAAACUAUUACAGCCUGAUCACCACCAACCACUUUACUUGGGACAUUAUGAUACAUUGCUCCAUGUGAAGAUUUAUUAUAUAAAUUUAUUUUUGAUUGAAAUCUUGUUUAUAUUCAUUUAAUUUGGUUAUUGAUUUAUGUUGCAAAAUAUACGUUUACAAG
rnacentral:lncRNA from 1 species